UACGUAGGGUGCAAGCGUUAAUCGGAAUUACUGGGCGUAAAGCGUGCGCAGGCGGUUUUGUAAGUCUGACGUGAAAUCCCCGGGCUCAACCUGGGGAUUGCGUUGGAGACUGCAAGGCUAGAAUCUGGCAGAGGGGGGUAGAAUUCCACGUGUAGCAGUGAAAUGCGUAGAGAUGUGGAGGAACACCGAUGGCGAAGGCAGCCCCCUGGGUCAAGAUUGACGCUCAUGCACGAAAGCGUGGGGAGCAAACAGG
rnacentral:rRNA from 1 species